GACCAAAUAGCUCAGUGGUUAGAGCACCCAAUCAAAACCUGGGAGGUCCAGGGUUCAAUCCCCCUGUCUGGUCA
rfam:Pisolithus tinctorius Marx 270 unplaced genomic scaffold scaffold_72, whole genome shotgun sequence.